GUGAGCGUAGCUCAGUCGGUAGAGCGCAGGAUUGUGGUUCCUGUGGUCGUGGGUUCGAUCCCCAUCGCUCACCCCA
rnacentral:tRNA from 1 species